AUGCUGAGAAGAAAAUUUGGAGGACAAUGUAACAAUAGCUACAGCAAAGUAUGGACAAGUAUCACUAUGAGGAUAGACCAAAAAUAGGCGGUUCACAUUUUUAAAAGUAAGUUAGCAGUAGAAAAUAAACAGUGGUUAAAAUAAAUACAAGAGACACAGACUACAAGCUAGAAUUAGUCCAAUGAGCAGUGGAAAAGGACAAAGAAUGGAUAUAUCGAUUUGAAAUGCUUAAAGACAGCUAAAAGCAGAAGUCUAAGGAGCAGUGAUCCAAGUUCAAGGAGGAGAAUGAAAACUGCAGGUUCAAAGCGGAAGAAAAGAUGAAACAGCGACAGCAUGUAACCACUCCACAAAAAUCACAUGGUAGACCUUGAGGAGAAGCAGCAUCAACUUUGCAACUGAAAAUAAAGGGCAUAUCAACAACUACAUCAGUGAGUAAUGAAUAAAGCUAUGUACAAAGAAAGAAGCAAGCAGCAAAGUAUGAUAUACGCAGAACAUUUGGGGAAGAAAAGCUGCUGGAAGUAAUUUCCCAUUCACAUCAUUCUCUUCCACAUCUGAGAAGUUUCCACUGUUGGAGAAAUAAUGCUCUUUUGACUUGGAAGGAACCACAAUAACCGCAAACACUUACAAAAAUACCAGAGCUGUUGUACAACAAACAUGCCAGUUGAAAACAUCUCUUAAAUAUGAUGGAAAAUAAGCAAUAUUUCUCAAUGUCGCAACCACCUUGAGGAGAGUAUUAAAUAACAACUUCAGUAAAACCAGUGUGGGGCAGGGGAAAAUCAGCAACUUAACUAUUUCUAAUUAGAUUUGGAAUUAGCCAUCAUGGUUGAAUGCUAGUAUGAAAGCCCCAAGCACAAAGGCUACCUUGUAACAUAUUUUCAAACUAUUUCAAUAUAUUCCACUAUUCAGAAAGAAAACUAAAGAUUCAAGCUCUGACCUAAAAUAAUCUCAAAACUCAAGAUUUGUGAUUUACAGAGCGUCACCACUGCUCUUCAGAGCGGGGUGGGGGUCAGUUCAAUUUAUACAUAAAACAUUUCCAAAAAGCAUACCUGAAGCCAGGAAAGGAUUAGAUAUACUGGAAGGUUGUGCAGGCUUGGAUACCAGGGAAUCCAGAUUCACCAAAGCUGCAUUAGGGCCCAGAAAGGACUCUGGAGUUUUUCGAGCUGCAGUCUGCUUUGAUGGCACUGAACUAGUAAGCUGAGCAUCAAAUAAAUCUGGACUAAUUGAACCACUGGGUUUAGAGCUUCCUCCCAACAUGUCAGUCUCACCUGAAGUAAAAGUUGACAAACAUUUAACUCAAAAUUUAAAAAAACUUUAAGGCAAUUCUAUAAUGCAGAGUUUUCAAAUGCUGAAGGUAAUAUCUUGAAAUGUCUUUUUUUAUAUUGGUCUGUAUAACUUCCUGUGUAUAGUAACCUGAAUUAAUCCAAUACUACAUUCUUACUAUGAUACUAACAGUUUGCUGCAGAUAUUAAUAAUGCUGACAAAUACUACAUGCACUGUAAACUAACUACAGGAUCAACACAUUUAACCAUAAAAAUCACAAUCUUGUCCAACAUCCUCACACCUUUCAUAUUUUAACUUUUAUUUAUUGAUCAUGUAAACAUGGAAACAGCAUUUAUGGUUGGAAAGCUUUGCAGCACUGUUGCAUUCCUGCUAGCCACCUGAAGCAUCUUCCUAUGUAUUCUGCGCUUUUUUAAAAAAGGGUAGACAUAAAAAUCAUUUCAAUGGAAAGGUUUAACAAUCAUUAUGCUGGAUUUACAAAUUCUGUGAAAGUAUCAGCCUAAAAAAAUUCAAAAAAUACUAUAAAAUAUGUCCUGUUAAUUGGAUGUACGCAUGUGCCUUAUGCAAAAGGAACAUAACUUAUGUGUUACAGAUGAGUCAGGUGCUAAGGAUACCAAGAUAACUUUGGGUUAAAAUUUGAUAAUUGUUAUCUUCCAAAAAUUUUAAGAACCCAGUAUAAAUGAUGAGAGGCCAACUAGAUUACUGCAUGCCAGGUUAUAUGAAAACAUCACCAUUAUCCUUCCAUUCACAUACUCCCGCAUUAAAAUGAUUUAAUUAAGGAACAUAGAUCUUAAAAAGUUGAUUAAAAAGAAAUAUUAACUUUGGUUUUUAAAAAAUGGCACUGAAUUUAAGGCUGCAUUUCAAUCCUGGGGUUCUGACUUUUGGAAAUUACUUAAUAUUAAAAUUGUCAAAAGAAAAUUGUAAGCAUUUGAGUAAAUUACAGCCUUGGAAAUUACCGAACGUAAAAUGGAUGUUCAACAGCAUGAAGUUGAAUAUCAGUUAACUCUCAAAUAAAGGACACAAAAUAACUCAAGCACUGCAGCUACAA